CCUACGGGUGGCUGCAGUGGGGAAUAUUGGACAAUGGGCGCAAGCCUGAUCCAGCAAUGCCGCGUGUGUGAAGAAGGCCUGCGGGUUGUAAAGCACUUUGAGUGGGGAAGAAGGCCUGGGGGUUAAUAGCUUCUGGGAUUGACGUUACCCACAGAACAAGCACCGGCUAACUCCGUGCCAGCAGCCGCGGUAAUACGGAGGGUGCUUGCGUUAAUCGGAAUGACUGGGCGUGAAGCGCGCAGUCGCGGGUGAAAGCCCUGGGCUUAACCUGGGAACUGCAUUGGUGACUGUUUGACUGGAGUGUGGUAGAGGGGUGUGGAAUUUCCGGUGUAGCAGUGAAAUGCGUAGAGAUCGGAAGGAACACCAGUGGCGAAGGCGGCACCCUGGACCGACACUGACGCUGAGGUGCGAAAGCGUGGGGAGCAAACAGGAUUAGAUACCCGUGUAGUC
rnacentral:rRNA from 1 species